AGCCUGACGACGCAACGCCGCGUGGAGGACGAAGAUCUUCGGGUCGUAAACUCCUGGUCGAGCGGGACGAACGCUUCGCGGGUGAAUAACCUGCGGAGGUGACGGUACCGCUAAAGGAAGCCCCGGCUAACUCCGUGCCAGCACCGCGGUAAU
rnacentral:rRNA from 1 species